rnacentral:rRNA from 1 species
CUACGUGCCAGCAGCCGCGGUAAUACGUAGGGCGCGAGCGUUGUCCGGGAAUUAUUGGGCGUAAAGAGCUUGUAGGCGGUUUGUCGCGUCUGCUGUGAAAGGCCGGGGCUUAACCCCGUGUAUUGCAGUGGGUACGGGCAGACUAGAGUGCAGUAGGGGAGACUGGAACUCCUGGUGUAGCGGUGGAAUGCGCAGAUAUCAGGAAGAACACCGAUGGCGAAGGCAGGUCUCUGGGCUGUAACUGACGCUGAGAAGCGAAAGCAUGGGGAGCGAACAGGAUUAGAUACCCUGGUAGUCCAUGCCGUAAACGUUGGGCACUAGGUGUGGGGGACAUUCCACGUUUUCCGCGCCGUAGCUAACGCAUUAAGUGCCCCGCCUGGGGAGUACGGCCGCAAGGCUAAAACUCAAAGAAAUUGACGGGGGCCCGCACAAGCGGCGGAGCAUGCGGAUUAAUUCGAUGCAACGCGAAGAACCUUACCAAGGCUUGACAU